GGAGAGGUGGCAGAGUGGUUGAAUGCGGCAGACUCGAAAUCUGUUUUGGAGUCAAAUCCAACGGGGGUUCGAAUCCCCCCCUCUCCG
rnacentral:tRNA from 2 species